GAUGAACGCUGGCGGCGUGCCUAAUACAUGCAAGUCGAGCGAACAGAUAAGGAGCUUGCUCCUUUGACGUUAGCGGCGGACGGGUGAGUAACACGUGGGUAACCUACCUAUAAGACUGGGAUAACUUCGGGAAACCGGAGCUAAUACCGGAUAAUAUUUCGAACCGCAUGGUUCGAUAGUGAAAGAUGGUUUUGCUAUCACUUAUAGAUGGACCCGCGCCGUAUUAGCUAGUUGGUAAGGUAACGGCUUACCAAGGCGACGAUACGUAGCCGACCUGAGAGGGUGAUCGGCCACACUGGAACUGAGACACGGUCCAGACUCCUACGGGAGGCAGCAGUAGGGAAUCUUCCGCAAUGGGCGAAAGCCUGACGGAGCAACGCCGCGUGAGUGAUGAAGGCCUUCGGAUCGUAAAACUCUGUUAUUAGGGAAGAACAUACGUGUAAGUAACUGUGCACGUCUUGACGGUACCUAAUCAGAAAGCCACGGCUAACUACGUG
rnacentral:rRNA from 1 species